GCAAUGUCCGCAGCCCUCCGGGGCAUUGGAGACAGGUGGUGCAUGGUUGUCGUCAGCUCGUGUCGUGAGAUGUUGGGUUAAGUCCCGCAACGAGCGCAACCCUUAUCCUUAGUAGCCAGCAGGUAAAGCCGGGCACUCUAGGGAGACUGCCGGGGACAACCCGGAGGAAGGCAGGGAUGACGUCAAAUCAUCAUGCCCCUUAUGGCCGGGGCUACACACGUGCUACAAUGGCGCAGACAGAGGGAGGCGACCCUGUGAAGGCAAGCAAAUCCCGGAAAGAGCGCCCCAGUUCGGAUUGUAGUCUGCAACCCGACUACAUGAAGCCGGAAUCGCUAGUAAUCGCGGAUCAGAAUGCCGCGGUGAAUACGUUCCCGGGUCUUGUACACACCGCCCGUCACACCAUGGGAGCCGGGAAUGCCCGAAGUCGGUGACCCAACCGUAAGGAGGGAGCCGCCGAAGGCAGGCCUGGUAACUGGGGUGAAGUCGUAACAAGGUAGCCGUAUCGGAAGGUGCGG
rnacentral:rRNA from 1 species